GUCCGGUCCACAGGGGCGGCUGGGCCUCAGGGGGAAGGAGGAGCUGGGCCCCGCUGCGCGACCUUGGCUCCCAGCGCCUCCCGCUCUCGACGGAGGCGUAAUCCAGCAGCACGCCAUCAAGAGAGGUCCCCUCCACAAUAUGAAACAAUCAAUAAUUUUGAUCAAAGGAUGAACAAUAGCUCUCUUCACAUCUUGAAAAUUUACCUGACAUUUACUACAAGUCAGAAGACUGAAUUCACUAGCCAAAGACAAGGGGGUUGCCACCAGCAAUGUCCAGAGAUGACCAUCUGAUAAGAUACCCAACACCCUGCUACCUUCAGAUAUGCGGAAUGAUGUUGGCAUUUCUAUUAUGGAACUGGAAAGAAACUUCACAGAAAGCCUGGGUUAAGUAAAAAGAGCAGCCUCUUCAGGUUUAAUGUAGAGCACAAAUUCUUGUUGUGGAAAAACAAAACAAAACCCAUCACAGACUGGCCACCUUCAUGCAAAUUAAAUCCUUAAACACGCACAAAAAAUCCUCCAACAACCCAGAACUCUCCAAAAGCAUAGAAAUGAUCUAAGAAGGGAAGAUUCUCGCUCUCUCUGGUACCAUAGCAAUAAAUUUCUUUCACCGAAACAAAGCUCUUUAAAUGCUGUCCCACUAGAGUCACAACAUGUGAGCUGUGGGGCACUGACUCAUAAGUGCAAUGAAGGGAAACAGGAAAAAAAAAAUUAGAGUAAGGGAGUUUUAAUUUAAGAUCCUUUGGGAAACAUGUUAGUUUAACUUACAAAAGCAGCUUCAGAAGAAAUAAACAAGCCUUCCUUUAAGGCAAAGAGGCUGCUAAAUCAAACCUUUAACUCAAGUCUUCCCACUGUAGGUCCCAGUCCAGGAUGAAUUCCUAACCCAUACUAAGCUUCUAAAACUAGGAUAGAGAGCUGAACUGGAGAGAGCUCUGUAAAGCUAGAGCAAGCAUAGAAGCUACGCUAAAUUCCCAGGGUAGAGAAAGUUUUUAGGCUAUACUUGUAAGCUAAAAUAAACCUCUGAGCUAUGAACCUCUAAAGUUUAAUCAGACAAAGUUCCCAAGCCAAAAUGCAUUGCUCCUCAACCCUAGAGAUAAAUUUAAUAAAUCUCUUAACUCCACCCUUUAUAAAUUCUGGCCAGUCAAUCCUCCCUAUCUGACUCAAAAUGGAGUCUCACAGCCAGUAAUAAACAGUCUCUCCCAACAUUAAAGAAAAUUUCACUAACAUCUGACCUUAAAAUACCUACUCUAUUAUUUCAAGGUAAGAACAGUUAGGAGGAGGAACAGAGAUACUACCUCUACAGCAUACAACCUGCAAUUGAA